rnacentral:misc_RNA from 1 species
GAUGAAGAACGUAGCGAAAUGCGAUAAGUAAUGUGAAUUGCAGAAUUCAGUGAAUCAUCGAAUCUUUGAACGCACCUUGCGCUCCUUGGUAUUCCGAGGAGCAUGCCUGUUUGAGUGUCAUUAAAUUCUCAACCUUUAUCUUUUAUUGAUAAAUGGCUUGGACUUGGGGGUUUGCUGGCGAAAGUCAGCUCCUCUGAAAUGUAUUAGCUGGUUGCCUUGUGUGAACUUGUCUAUUGGUGUGAUAAUUAUCUACGCCGUGGGCUGUUUGCCGUUUUAGCACUGCUUCUAACUGUCUGUUAACUCGGACAAUAUAUGACAAUUUGACCUCAAAUCAGGUAGGACUACCCGCUGAACUUAAGCAUAUCAAUAAGCGGAGGA